rnacentral:lncRNA from 1 species
CUCCGAUCCCCUGGCUGGUGGGGAACUUCAAUUUCAAAUGGUAGGUUGAAACAACAGCUCUGAGGGUAUUGAGGCCGGGUCGGCCAAGAAUUGCAUUGUAGGCAGAUGGCGCCUUUACCAUCAGAAAAUUUACCAGAGCUCUGGACUGCUUUGGAUGCUGACCCACGGUCACAGUUAGAGCUAUCAUUCCUUCCGUCGGAACGGCGUCACCGGUAAACCCUAUUAAGGGGGAGCAAAUCGGCCGUAGAUGACCGCCAAGAGUGGCCAUUCUUGAAAAGGCGUUGUAGAACAAGAUGUCGGCCGAACUCCCGUUGUCGACGAGAAUGCGACGGACGUCGUAAUUUGCUACGUUCAAGGAAACUACGACCGCGUCAUUAUGAGGGAAUUGGACUCCCUGGGCGUCUUCUUCAGUGAAGGCUAUGGGCUCUUC